UGCAGGUAGACUUCAUCCGGGCUCCUACGGGAGCCAGACUUCAGCCCUGAGCUCCCAUUGCAGGUAGACCUCAUCCGAAUUCUUACAAGGGUCGGACUCUGAGCCCCCACCACAAGCAAUCUACUCCGAGCUUCUGCUACAAGCGAUCUACUCCGAGCCUCUGCUACAAGCGAUCUACUCCGAGCUACUACUACAAGCAGUCUACUUCAAAUUUCUACUACGAGCAGUCC
rnacentral:lncRNA from 1 species